UGGGGAAUAUUGCACAAUGGGCGAAAGCCUGAUGCAGCAACGCCGCGUGAGUGAUGAAGGUCUUCGGAUUGAUAAGCUCUGUCUUUUGGGACGAUAAUGACGGUACCAAAGGAGGAAGCCACGGCUAACUACGUGCCAGCAGCCGCGGUAAUACGUAGGUGGCGAGCGUUGUCCGGAUUUACUGGGCGUAAAGGGUGCGUAGGCGGAUGUUUAAGUGAGAUGUGAAAUACCCGGGCUUAACUUGGGUGCUGCAUUUCAAACUGGAUAUCUAGAGUGCAGGAGAGGAGAAUGGAAUUCCUAGUGUAGCGGUGAAAUGCGUAGAGAUUAGGAAGAACACCAGUGGCGAAGGCGAUUCUCUGGACUGUAACUGACGCUGAGGCACGAAAGCGUGGGUAGCAAACAGGAUUAGAUACCCUGGUAGUCCACGCCGUAAACGAUGAGUACUAGGUGUAGGAGGUAUCGACCCCUUCUGUGCCGCAGUAAACACAUUAAGUACUCCGCCUGGGAAGUACGAUCGCAAGAUUAAAACUCUAAAGUGAAUUGACGGGGGUCAUA
rnacentral:rRNA from 1 species